GCUAUUUCAAUCGUGAGCCAAUAGAAAACCAUCCUUUGCAUUUGGCGGCAGAGCUCAGGUUUAACCCUUAACCUUUUCGGGCUCUGGCUCGGGCUCGGAGAGAACAUCACUCCCCAGGUUCCUGACCAGCGGGGACGCUGAAAGAGCGACCUCAACAGUGGACGCCGAGGCCUACGGGAAACGUAGUCUUGACUCCUUCUGGCUCCCCGCGCGGCGCUCUGGGAAGGGGAUUCCGGGAUCCCUCUGCGCAUGUGCAGCCGUAGCCCCGCCUCCUCCCUCGUCUUCUCAGGACUCCGCGGGAGCCGUUAAGUACCUCAGUCUCCUCGGGAAGUGGAGGGCGCGCCCGGGAGGCUGCGCUGCUGUCAGACAUGUCCAUCACCACAUGUGACAUUAAUGACAUCAUCCUGACCUCGCAGGAUCCCAGAAUAAUGAUGCUUGAAGGAUUUUCCAAAGUCGUCUACUUUAAUUCUUGAAAACUUUAAAGACAUUGGACCUGAAAGUUUCAGUGACUUGUCCAGGGAAACCUGGUUUAUGACAGAGUUAGAAGGAAAACUGCAGUUCCCUCUCAGGUGUCACCAAAAGCAUCUUAUCAAAGGGGCCUUCUGAGGAAUACAUCCCAGCUGAAACGAACAAAAGUUCCUGCCUUCAAGCAUCCCAUCUCUUUUCUGUGAAUUGUCUGUACCAAGAGCUGAGCCACAGUUCUCUACACUCACCCAGGAGCCACAGAAAGUGAACAUCCUUCAGGGGACUCUAAACAUCGGGAGUAGAGAAACAUGCCCUUGCCAUAUUGUGCUCUCUAGCUCUGCACGGCCCCCUGUCAGCACCAUUGGCUGACAAGACUAUCCUUUCUCCAUUGAAUUACCUUGGCACCUCUGUGGGAAGUCAACCGGCAAUGUAUGUAUGGUUUGUUUCGGACUCUGUUCACUUCUGAUGAUCUGUGUUAAUCCUUUUGCUAAUACCACACUGUCUUGGUGACUCUCUCUUUACGGUAAGUCUUGAAAUCAGGUAGUGUAAGUCUUCCAACUUUGUCCUUUUUUAAAAUCGUUUUGGAUAUUCUAGGUUCUUUGCUUCUUUAUAGAAAGUUUUAAAAAUCAGCUUGCCUAUCUCAAAAGAGCCUGCUGAGAUUUUGGUUUUGAUUGCACAGAUUCUAUAGAAUUUGUGGCAUAGUUCAAUUUGGGGAGAAAUUGAAUCUUGAUCCUAAUGAGUCUUCCAGUUCCUGAACACGGUAUCCCUCUCCAUUUAGUUCAGUAAUACGGAGGGUUUGGGUUUUUAUCCUUUUGAAUCAAAAGGAGUGUUUUAAGUUACAGUUUAAAAGAAUAACACUGUCUACUGUUUGAAGAUAGACUCUAGUGGGUCAGUGGUGGAAGCAGGUACAAUGUAGGAGGCUAUUUCUGUAAUCCUAGCAAGAAAUGAUGAUCCCAGGGUGUUAGUUACUUUGAAGUGGUCAGGUUUUAGGUGUAAUUGAGGUUAGAGCCAAGAGUUUGAGAGCACGCGUUUCCUCCCUACAACCUUGCAAAUAGAGUGUGCAUCAAACUUUGGAUUUUUACCAGUGUGACCUACAACUGAUCUCAGUUUAGUUCUGUAAGCUUUGCUCUUCUCAUGAGUAGGUGGGACAUCGUUUUUUGUUUUUAGUUCAUGAUAUUUCUUUGUUGUUGAACUCUUUAUCUCUUACCCAUUUUCCUAUUAAUGUGCUGAUUUUAAUGACUGCAUCCAGUAUACCCUUAUAGCACUUUUUCUGUGAUGUAAAUUGCAGAAUUUUCCUACAAUUUUUUGUAUUUUUGUCUUACUUGUGGGUUUUUGUUUGUUUUUUUUUUUCUUUUACCAUAAAGGCAUUUGAUUUUUACAAUGUCAAAUUUAGCAAUUUUUAUUUUCUGAUUCCUGGAUUUUCAGUCAUAGUUGGGCAUUUCCCGCUCUAAACAUAAGAUCAUUGUUCUGUAUAGUCUUCUAGAAUGUGGUGUUAUUUCUUGCAUUUCGAUCUUGAAUGCAUAUUAUUUUAUCCUGCUCUCUGGUGUGAGAGAGAGAUCUAACUGUCUUUUCUCAGGUGGCCCCCAGCUAUCCCUGUGACAUUAGAGUCCAGCCUUUCCUCACUCAUUUGAAUGACGUCACCUGUAUUCAGAUAGGAAGUUUACUCUGUUAAUCAUUCUUCUCACCACACACUUUGUUCCGGGUCUUGCUCGCUUGAAGCUUGGACAUCUUUCUGGGCUCUCAUCAGUGCCUUGCUCCUUCUGCCCACUUCUCUGUUUUUGUUAGAUUGUGGGCUACAUUGUCCUGUCUUUCUUAUCUAAUACAGUCUUACCCUGUGUCUUCCAGAGUUUGUUCAAAUUUUUGGGCCUUCUGCUGGGACAUUUCUCUGUAUUCCUUUUCAGUCGUGCUUUCAUAGUAGGUUUUGUAUUUUAUGUGAGUGUUUUUGGAGGCAGGGGAUGUAAGUAUGUGUGCUGAGUAUUCCCUUGAACUAGGGUAAUCAUUUAUGCUUCUAAUUCUCUCUUCCUUUAAUUUCCAGUGCUCUAAUCUUUCUGCUUUCUCUUUCCACCAUUUAGAAAUUCUUUCUCAGCCUUCAUGGCGUGUUCAUUUUCUGCUUGCCCCUUCAAUUUUGCUGUUUGCCUGAAUUCUGUAUUUGGUGCCUUUUCUCUCCUCAGUUUCUAUGUCCUUUGUGAACCAUCCUUUUUUCUCUGAUGACUUCAGUUACCAUCUAAAUGAUUAAUGUCUCCGAAAUUGUAAUUUUCAUUUUAGACCUCCCUCUCUGUUCCAAAAUCGUGUGACAACAGUGAAAUAAAUAAUUCCAUCUGUAUGUUCCACAGGUGUUUUGAGUGUAAGUGGAAAACAUCUGCCUCACUGUGAUGCAACCUCUGACUGUUAUUUAUUCUUCCAAUCCCCGUGUAUGGCAUUAGCAUCUACGCAGUUGCUUGUGCAGCAUCACUGUGUUUAACUGCACAAGAAAAUAAUGACCAGAUUUUGCUUCCUAUAAGGAUUAGUUUCUCAUUCAUUAUCUUUGUUGCUUUGUCUUAAUAUAAGUCCUCUCUUAAAUUAAGUCUUUUGUUUUGCUGGUUAAGACGUUGUCCACUAUUCAUAUAGAGCAAUGAUUCCUAAUAAGGAUCAAUUUUGCUCCCCAGGGGACGUUUGGCAAUAUUUGGAGAUAUUUUUGAUUGUCACAACUGGGGAUGCUACUGGCAUCUGAUCAGUAGAAGACAAGGAUACCGAUAAAGAUCCUAAAAUAUACAGGACAGUUUUCCACAAAAAUAGCACUAUCUGAUCCACAUUGUCAGUAGUGCCAAGUUGAAGAAACCCUGUUCUAGAGCAUUGCUCCUGAAAUAUAAAUCUGGUGGUGUGUAAUACCUCCCUGGGCUUACAUGUCUCUCCUAUUGGUUCCAUGUUACUCCAGCAGAGAUCUCCAGGCUGGGGUGUGUAUACUCUGCAGAGUGCUCAGCAUAAUCCGUUGGUGUAUGGGAAAUAUAUACAAGAAUCCUAUUUAGAGUAACUUUACCUUAAAAAAUAAGGCACUAGGCUUUCUCAUUAUAUUAAGUGACAAUAUAUGUG
rnacentral:lncRNA from 1 species